CCUACGGGGGGCUGCAGUGGGGAAUAUUGGACAAUGGGGGGAACCCUGAUCCAGCGACGCCGCGUGAGUGAAGAAGUAUUUCGGUAUGUAAAGCUCUAUCAGUAGGGAAGAAAAUGACGGUACCUGACCAAGAAGCCCCGGCUAACUACGUGCCAGCAGCCGCGGUAAUACGGAGGGGGCAAGCGUUAUCCGGAUUUACGGGGUGUAAUGGGAGCGUAGACGGUGCAGGAAGUCUGAUGUGAAAGGUCGGGGCCCAACCCCGGGACUGCAUUGGAAACUGUUGAACUGGAGUACAGGAGAGGUAAGCGGAAUUCCUAGUGUAGCGGUGAAAUGCGUAGAUAUUGGGAGGAACACCAGUGGCGAAGGCGGCUUACUGGACUGUAACUGACGUUGAGGCUCGAAGGCGUGGGGAGCGAACAGGAGUAGAUACCCCAGUAGUC
rnacentral:rRNA from 1 species